AAGUCGUAACAAGGUUUCCGUAGGUGAACCUGCGGAAGGAUCAUUACAGAGUUCAUGCCCUCACGGGUAGAUCUCCCACCCUUGAAUACUUAUACCUUUGUUGCUUCNGCGGGCCGCCUCGGCUACCGGCUCUAGCUGGUAAGUGCUCGCCAAAGGACCCCAAAACUCUGAAUAUUAGUGUCNUCUGAGUACUAUAUAAUAGUUAAAACUUUCAACAACGGAUCUCUUGGUUCUGGCAUCGAUGAAGAACGCAGCGAAAUGCGAUAAGUAAUGUGAAUUGCAGAAUUCAGUGAAUCAUCGAAUCUUUGAACGCACAUUGCGCCCCUUGGUAUUCCGAGGGGCAUGCCCGUUCGAGCGUCAUUAUACCCCUCAAGCCUAGCUUGGUGUUGGGGCCUGCUGUUACCGGCAGCCCUUAAAAUCAGUGGCGGUGCCAUCUGGCUCUAAGCGUAGUAAUACUUCUCGCUACAGGGUCCCGGUGGAUGCUUGCCAUCAACCCCUAAUUUUCUAUGGUUGACCUCGGAUCGGGUAGGGAUACCCGCUGAACUUA
rnacentral:rRNA from 1 species